GUCGAACGAUGAGGCCCAGCUUGCUGGGCCGAUUAGUGGCGAACGGGUGAGUAACACGUGAGUAACCUGCCCCCGACUCUGGGAUAAGCCCGGGAAACUGGGUCUAAUACCGGAUAUUCUCCCCCCGCCGCAUGGCGGGGGGUGGAAAGCGGUUUAGCGGUCGGGGAUGGACUCGCGGCCUAUCAGCUUGUUGGCGGGGUAACGGCCCACCAAGGCGACGACGGGUAGCCGGCCUGAGAGGGUGACCGGCCACACUGGGACUGAGACACGGCCCAGACUCCUACGGGAGGCAGCAGUGGGGAAUAUUGCACAAUGGGCGAAAGCCUGAUGCAGCGACGCCGCGUGAGGGAUGACGGCCUUCGGGUUGUAAACCUCUUUCAGUAGGGAAGAAGCGAAAGUGACGGUACCUGCAGAAGAAGCGCCGGCUAACUACGUGCCAGCAGCCGCGGUAAUACGUAGGGCGCAAGCGUUAUCCGGAAUUAUUGGGCGUAAAGAGCUCGUAGGCGGUUUGUCGCGUCUGCCGUGAAAGUCCGGGGCUCAACCCCGGAUCUGCGGUGGGUACGGGCAGACUAGAGUGAUGUAGGGGAGACUGGAAUUCCUGGUGUAGCGGUGAAAUGCGCAGAUAUCAGGAGGAACACCGAUGGCGAAGGCAGGUCUCUGGGCAUUAACUGACGCUGAGGAGCGAAAGCAUGGGGAGCGAACAGGAUUAGAUAC
rnacentral:rRNA from 1 species